rnacentral:rRNA from 1 species
CCUACGGGGUGCUGCAGUGGGGAAUAUUGGACAAUGGGCGAAAGCCUGAUCCAGCCAUGCCGCGUGUGUGAAGAAGGCCUUCGGGUUGUAAAGCACUUUCAGUGGGGAAGAAAGCCUUGGGGCUAAUACCCUCGAGGAAGGACAUCACCCACAGAAGAAGCACCGGCUAACUCCGUGCCAGCAGCCGCGGUAAUACGGAGGGUGCGAGCGUUAAUCGGAAUUACUGGGCGUAAAGCGCGCGUAGGCGGUCUGAUAAGCCGGUUGUGAAAGCCCCGGGCUCAACCUGGGAACGGCAUCCGGAACUGGCAGGCUAGGGGGGAGGGGAGGGAGGGAAGAUGCCCGGGGGAGGGGUGAAAUGGGGUGGGGUCGGGAGGGAAACCAGGGGGGAAGGGGGCCUUCUGGAAUGACACCGGCGCCGGGGGGGGAAAGCCUUGGUAGCCAACCAGAAUAGAUACCCGGGUUAUC